GCCCUGCAGUGCGGUGCAGUGCGGACGAAGGAGUGCAGUGGAGUGGAUGGAGGUGUGUGGCAGGAAGUGGCAAAGUGCCACGGAGUGCGGCGUCAAACAGUGGAGAGCCUGAAGACACCAACACAGCUGCUAGAACCGUCAAAAGAGUCAUGAUAUGGAGAGCAUUUGAAUGGAUCCACAGAUGACUUGCCUGUUUGCUUUUAUUCAGCUUCUUCCAUCCAAGGUUGUUUGCAGAAAGACUUUUUUAUCCUUAUUUUCAUUUUACAAGUAUAUCUUCCACCUGUGGAUCAUCCUCUGUCCCAAGUUAAAGGAAAGAUAAAAAACAGAAUCAAAGGUACAUAAAAGUCAUAGUGG